UUAAGUUCAGCGCGUAUUCCUACCUGAUCCGAGGUCAACCUUUUGAAAAGUUUCCUUACAAAAAGGAGAGGACCGGGUCCUAGGCGCCCUUUGUCCGAUACGUGCUCAAUGAAAAGCUCAGUGUACCGGGGGAACCACAGGCCGCCGUCAUUGUCUUUAGGAGGGGUUGAAUCAAUACUCAACCAGGCCGUCCAACACCA
rnacentral:misc_RNA from 1 species